rnacentral:misc_RNA from 1 species
UUUUUGUAAUAAUUCGUUAUUUCUUUCAUUGGAACGUACUGUUGUGAGUAUAAACAUGCAAUGUGGGUAAAAUUUUCUUUACUUGGUUGCUAUAUUAUUAGUGAAGCAUUUGCCUGCAUAUAGUGAAUGGCAACAUUGUGUGUGUAUUUUAUGUAUCGUUUACCAGUUUAAGAACUUUUAUCUUAUUAAUUAUUGACAUGUUAAACGGCCAAAUUACAAUAUAGGAGAUGCAUAAAUAUGUUCUUUUGAGAACCAUAGCAGGCCGUAAUCAAGGGUUUCUGGUUAAGAAAAUUAUGAUAUCUCUGUGCAUUUUUUUGUUAUUUAUUCUAAAACUUUCCUAUAAUCUGAAAAAUAACUUUGUUGAAUCAUCAUUUUUCAUUCUUAGUUCAAACCUAACCUUAGAGCUUCAAAUAUCCUGGGUCUUAAAUAAUUUGUGCCACAAUUGCAAGAUGCUUUUGCUGAAUGGAAAUUAUUACCUCUCUUAUGAUAUGGUUUUAUGUGCUUAUAUGUUAAUUUAUGUCAUGCAAUGACUGACAUUUAAAAGAAGAUUUGGUGUUACACAGUCUUGUUGUCAGCUGUUUUGCAGGGUGAAAAUGAUA